rnacentral:rRNA from 1 species
UACGGAGGGUGCAACCGUUGCUCGGAAUCAUUGGGCGUAAAGCGCACGUAGGCGGUUCGUUAAGUCGGAUGUGAAAGCCCUCGGCUCAACCGAGGAAGUGCAUACGAAACUGGCGAACUUGAAUAUGGAAGAGGGUCGCGGAAUUCCCGGUGUAGAGGUGAAAUUCGUAGAUAUCGGGAGGAACACCAGUGGCGAAGGCGGCGACCUGGGCCAAUAUUGACGCUGAGGAACGAAAGCGUGGGGAGCGAACAGG